GUAUUAACGAUGAAACGGCUUCGGAGACGUCUUCGAGCACCGCAGAUGAUUCAUUAGUUGUGAACUUAAGCUUAAGUAUUAAUGAGGAGAUGUCGACAUCUACUCCAAAACCAACCCGAGAAACACACGACAACGAGAAGCAACAUGUGGCAGUGACACCGAACAAUAGCCCUUCUACAUCAAAGGAGGGAAAAGAAAAGUCACCAAAAAGUGAUGAAUUUAAAAAGAAAACUUUAUCAGUUGGUGUUAAAAAGAGAAGAAAGGAGAGACGGA